AUUGAACGCUGGCGGAAUGCUUUACACAUGCAAGUCGAACGGCAGCACGGGGGCAACCCUGGUGGCGAGUGGCGAACGGGUGAGUAAUACAUCGGAACGUGCCCGGUCGUGGGGGAUAACGUAGCGAAAGUUACGCUAAUACCGCAUACGAUCUGAGGAUGAAAGCGGGGGACCUUCGGGCCUCGCGCGAUCGGAGCGGCCGAUGUCAGAUUAGGUAGUUGGUGGGGUAAAGGCCCACCAAGCCGACGAUCUGUAGCUGGUCUGAGAGGACGACCAGCCACACUGGGACUGAGACACGGCCCAGACUCCUACGGGAGGCAGCAGUGGGGAAUUUUGGACAAUGGGCGCAAGCCUGAUCCAGCCAUUCCGCGUGCAGGACGAAGGCCUUCGGGUUGUAAACUGCUUUUGUAUGGAACGAAAAGGCUCUGGCUAAUACCUGGGGCUCAUGACGGUACCGUAAGAAUAAGCACCGGCUAACUACGUG
rnacentral:rRNA from 1 species